rnacentral:rRNA from 1 species
AUUGAACGCUGGCGGCAGGCUUAACACAUGCAAGUCGAACGAGUGGCGGACGGGUGAGUAAUGCUUGGGAAUCUCGCUUAUGGAGGGGGAUACCUACGGGAAACUGUAGCUAAUACCGCGUACCAUAGUAUGAGCCCAAGUGGGAUUAGGUAGUUGGUGGGGUAAAGGCUCACCAAGCAGACGAUCUCUAGCGGGUCUGAGAGGAGUACCGGGCACAGUGGGACUGAGACACGGACAAGACUCCUCAGGGAGGCAGCCGUGGGGAAUAUUGAGCAAGUGGGGUAACCUGCCGUAGCUCUGCCAACUGAAUGAAGAAGGCGUUCGGGUUGUAAAGUGCUUUCGGUAGGGAGGCGUUAACUACAAAAGAAGAAACGGCUAAUCCCGUGCCAGCAGCCGCGGUAAUUC